GAAAUGGAAACGUGGCCUCAGCAGCAUGGGGCAGCAAGGAGGAAAAGCUGCUGUUUGAGAAGCAAUAAAGGAUGAGCUGCUGUGUCCUAUUCGUUGUGCCAGGCUCAGAGGGAGCAACGGGCCUGGGUGUGCCUCCUUCCUCAGCUGUGGCAAUGCCAUCCCUGGAGAUGAAGGGGCUGAGAUGCAUGAGCCUGGGAAGGGGAAGAACAUGGUGGCAUCUUGUUUGUGAGGGCAGUGCUUUGACUGACUUAAGGGCGUCAUCUUCUGCUUCUAUCCAAAUUGAUACCUAACCUGCUGAGGCAGCCUUCAAUCCUACUGUAUCUGUAUAUCUGGAAGCUGUGAACAGUUUGCAUUUCAGAUACUUUAGUUUAAUGGCGAGCUACGACUGUCAAGUGGAUUUUAUCAGCGGCCACGUGUGACUGCGGUGUUUCAUUUGAGAUCCGGCAAGGUGUCCCAGUGAGCAUUGCUGUGUGAUGUUAAUGUAGGCUUCUCCUCUUGUGCUUCCAUACAGGCGCUGUGCUUGCAGAGGCCAGUCAGGAUCCAGUGAGUCUUCUCUCCCUUCUGUGCUCCCAGCCCAGUAGAGGAGUUCCUUCAGAUGCAGACCUUGCCUGCGGGAAUGUUUUAAUCCUUACUUUGACGGGGAUGAUAUUGCGGUUUCUCUCACAAUAGUUAAUUGGCUGCCCUCUUCUUGCUGUGGGGGAUUAUGAAUCCCUUGGACAUGGUUGGAUGAGAUAAGAAAUGCCGGGACAGUUAAAUGGAGUCCGUUCAGGGUUUAGCCAAGCAGAAGAGUCCUCCUUAGCAAAUGAAGCAGAAUAGCAAUAACUCUUUCUGCGCUAUAGGGUGACCAACCCUGAGAGCAGAUUAUUUUGUGUUAUGAAUGCAAUGGCCUCUAUAAGCACCUAUCUUGCUAAUGACGUUUUGGGCAGUUAUGUAAUGGGGCUGAAUGCAAACAGCUUGCUUUCUACUCUUAUCUGAGGGGGGGGGGGAAAGGGCAGUACAAAUAAAUAUGCUGUGAGCUGCGGCUUUAAUAAAAUCAGAACUUUCAAAGAGGCUAAUUUAGAUGUGAUGUU
rnacentral:lncRNA from 7 species